GGGACUAUAGCUCAGUUGGUUAGAGUACUACGUUGACAUCGUAGGGGUCGGUGGUUCGAGCCCACUUAGUCCCA
rnacentral:tRNA from 1 species